rnacentral:rRNA from 1 species
GUGCCAGCAGCCGCGGUAAUACGUAGGUGGCAAGCGUUAUCCGGAUUUAUUGGGCGUAAAGGGAGCGCAGGCGGUGACUUAAGUCUGAUGUGAAAGCCCACGGCUUAACCGUGGAGGGUCAUUGGAAACUGGGUCACUUGAGUGCAGAAGAGGAAAGUGGAAUUCCAUGUGUAGCGGUGAAAUGCGUAGAUAUAUGGAGGAACACCAGUGGCGAAGGCGACUUUCUGGUCUGUAACUGACGCUGAGGCUCGAAAGCGUGGGGAGCAAACAGGAUUAGAUACCCCGGUAGUCC